GCGAACGCUGGCGGCAGGCUUAACACAUGCAAGUCGAGCGGGCAUCUUCGGAUGUCAGCGGCAGACGGGUGAGUAACACGUGGGAACGUACCCUUCGGUUCGGAACAACUCUGGGAAACUGGAGCUAAUACCGGAUACGCCCUUAUGGGGAAAGGUUUACUGCCGAAGGAUCGGCCCGCGUCUGAUUAGCUAGUUGGUGGGGUAACGGCCUACCAAGGCGACGAUCAGUAGCUGGUCUGAGAGGAUGAUCAGCCACACUGGGACUGAGACACGGCCCAGACUCCUACGGGAGGCAGCAGUGGGGAAUAUUGGACAAUGGGCGCAAGCCUGAUCCAGCCAUGCCGCGUGAGUGAUGAAGGCCUUAGGGUUGUAAAGCUCUUUUGUCCGGGACGAUAAUGACGGUACCGGAAGAAUAAGCCCCGGCUAACUUCG
rnacentral:rRNA from 1 species